GUGUCCGUAGCUCAGUUGGAUAGAGCAACGGCCUUCUAAGCCGUGGGUCGAGGGUUCGAAUCCCCCCGGGCACA
rnacentral:tRNA from 2 species